CGAGAACCGACACUGCUUUCAUUAUCAAAUUCAGCAGAAUUUCGAUACAGCUACCUGAAAAUAGAAGCUGCCAUUCGUGGAAAGUUAGUAGUGAAGGCGGGAAAAUGAAAGAAACUAUUACUCACUAGAACUGUGUGAAGAGUCCUGACACAGUUGAGUCAGGAGACAUGCAUGCAUCGUUCAAAAUACUUGAUCGGCUUAGCGUUGCGGAGGAUGAAUCAACAACCUCGUCCUGCUGUGUUUGUUGUGUAUUGAUGAAGAUAUAAAGCAUUGCACAAGAAUAUGAUUUUUACCAUGCAAACCUAAGGAACUUGAAACGUUUGCAAUUAAAUAUUACAUGCAGUAUACCAUGGAAUAUCUUUGGUCGGGCAACGGGGGAACAGUAUGCAGUAUCGAUUCAUCUAUUUAUGCACAUAGUUUAAGGACUCCGCAAAUUUGCUGUAACGCAACUACAGACAAUCGUGUUCAUAGAUGCAUCAGUCUAUCGUAUCUAAAAUGUUUAUAAUAUAUACAAUGCAUUGCUAUUUAAGUGAAGCUGAGUCUAUAAAUAUGAAGACGAAGGGUAUUUGUAUUAAUUAUUUCAUUACCAUACAAUGGUUUUAGCACUCCGUUGUACAAAACAGUUUAUUAGUGCCUUGGUCUUAUACACACUUAUACACAAGAUUCUGUUUUAUGAAACCAGUAUUUAAAGCUAGGAACUGAACAUUUUGCCUAUCUUCAAUGCAGCUUAUAUUGACUAUCACUUUUUUGGGGGUAAUUCAUAUUCAUGUCAAAUGCACCCAUUACGUAACGACCAAAUAUCAUAUAUUCUCUGACAAAUUUACCUUUAAAAGCAUUGAUUCCAACUCUUCUCGUCCCCCAAUCAAACAUUAUUAGUUGUAGUCAGAAAAGUGUGUCGAAAUAUCUUGGAAAAGCUGCCGUAUAUUCUUGUGCUUCACUCUGCUUGCCUGCAGUCGUUUGUUUCAUGGUUCGUUGUCUAUGGCCUUAUUAUAAGGAGAAUAUUUAAUUAACAAGAAUUCCUUCUGAUCAGUGAAGAAUAAAAGAAUUAUCAUUAGCAUUUGGCAUGUUCAAAUGUGGCUCUUAUAUGUGAUGGUUUCUGUUGAC